rnacentral:rRNA from 1 species
UACGAAGGGGGCUAGCGUUGCUCGGAAUCACUGGGCGUAAAGGGUGCGUAGGCGGGUCUUUAAGUCAGGGGUGAAAUCCCUGGAGCUCAACUCCAGAACUGCCUUUGAUACUGAGGAUCUUGAGUCCGGGAGAGGUGAGUGGAACUGCGAGUGUAGAGGUGAAAUUCGUAGAUAUUCGCAAGAACACCAGUGGCGAAGGCGGCUCACUGGCCCGGUACUGACGCUGAGGCACG